GACGAACGCUGGCGGCGUGCCUAACACAUGCAAGUCGAACGGUAAGGCCCCAGCUUGCUGCGGUACACGAGUGGCGAACGGGUGAGUAACACGUGGGUGACACGUACCUCACUUCGGGAUAAGCCUGGGAAACUGGGUCUAAUACCGCAGAGGACCGCUCCGAGAGGGUGUGGCGGAAAUUUUAUCGGGGUGGGCUGGGUCUGCGGGCUAUCAGCUUGUUGGAGGGGUAAGGGGAUACCAAGGCGGCGUGUGGUAGCCGACCUGGGAGGGUGGACGGCGACCAUACGACUGAGAGACGGCGCAGACUGCAACGUGAGGCAGCAGUGGGGAAUAUUGCACAGUGGGCGGGCGCCUGAUGCGGCGACGCCGCGUGGGGGAUGCCGUGCUUCGGGUUGUGAACUCCUGUCACAGUAACCGUAGGUUUUCUGACGGUAGAUGGAGAAGAAGCACCGGCUAACUACGUG
rnacentral:rRNA from 1 species